rnacentral:rRNA from 1 species
GAUGAACGCUAGCGGCAGGCUUAACACAUGCAAGUCGAGGGGUAACAGGGUAGCAAUACUGCUGACGACCGGCAAACGGGUGCGGAACACGUACACAAUCUGCCUUUGUCUGGGGGAUAGCCCGAAGAAAUUCGGAUUAACACCCCAUAUUAUAAUUAGGUGGCAUCACCUUGAUUAUUAAAACUACCGGUGGACAAAGAUGAGUGUGCGUCCCAUUAGCUAGUUGGUAGGGUAACGGCCACCAAGGCGACGAUGGGUAGCUGGUGUG